rnacentral:rRNA from 1 species
GACGAACGCUGGCGGCGUGCUUAACACAUGCAAGUCGAACGGUAAGGCCCUUCGGGGUACACGAGUGGCGAACGGGUGAGUAACACGUGGGUGAUCUGCCCUGCACUUUGGGAUAAGCCUGGGAAACUGGGUCUAAUACCGGAUAGGACCAUGCGCUUCCCGGUGUGGGUGGAAAGCUUUUGCGGUGUGGGAUGGGCCCGCGGCCUAUCAGGUUGUUGGUGGGGUAAUGGCCUACCAAGGCGACGACGGGUAGCCGGCCUGAGAGGGUGACCGGCCACACUGGGACUGAGAUACGGCCCAGACUCCUACGGGAGGCAGCAGUGGGGAAUAUUGCACAAUGGGCGCAAGCCUGAUGCAGCGACGCCGCGUGAGGGAUGACGGCCUUCGGGUUGUAAACCUCUUUCAGUAGGGACGAAGCGCAAGUGACGGUACCUACAGAAGAAGGACCGGCCAACUACGUGCCAGCCGCCGCGGUAA